UAUUGAGCAAGGCUAGAGGCUCUACAGUGAAAUAAGACAAUAAUCACUAACCAGAACAGCAAUGGACAGGGAAUAUUGACAUUAAUACUAAUACUAUGUUGAUGAUUCGGCCCAAAGGACACCAUAUUUCCUACUACACUACUUUAGCCCAGUGCACUAAUUAGGGAACAUACAAGGCGGGAUUCCCAGGGGGGACGGGGACACACACGAUCCCCCCCAUCCUGGGAAAAAUAAGUAAGUUGUUCAAACAAAGGAUAUGUUAGACAUUUCUUUACUUCUACCACUCAAUACAAGAAAACACAUUUAUAACCGUCACCAGUCUUCAUUUUUUUGCUGCAUUAAAUGACAGGUCACUAUGUUAGCUAGCGGUUAACUGAUGUUUGCUAGCUGUCUACAGUAACGUCAACCAGUGUUUGCAGCUAUUUGAAUUUAAGUCAAUGAGAGAAGCUAGCAAUGCAAUGUAGUGUUCCUUAGCUGGCAAGGUGACAGAGUGUUCGUGUCUACCGUCUGAAAGGCACUCAAUGCACGUAAUCCAGUCAAUCGCACCAUAGCGAUAUUGUUUUAUGUUGGCAGGGUUCUGUUGAUGAAUAGUUACAUGAGAAACGAGACCAAGUUGAGACUCUUGACAAGGCGGAUACGGUAUAGUAAAGGCCAUUUAUUCAAGCGUAAUGAUAUUUGGUAAAGCGUGCUGCACGGCCCCCAUUCGUCCAGCUCUUAGGGAGCUUUCGGAAGAAGAGAGCUAAAAACAUAUUGUGCAGUUCAUUUUAUGCAUUGAAAUGACGUAGGUAGAUUCUGGUAGUCCUGGCUUCUGGUAGGUUUCUUGUAGGUGAUAGACAGUCCUCUCCAGCCUGGUGUCAGUAUCCCAUUGGUUCUCGACAGAGUUGUUUGUCUUUGGAGCCCCUCCCGAAGGGUUUUGAGUGUGUGCGUGUAUUUAUGGGUUUCAGUGUGUACGUUAUCUUAGUCAGCCACCAGUGCGGGGGGAUUCCAGUGCAGUUAGUAUAUACAGAAAACAGAGAGAGGGGGAAGGUAUAACACAGAGUGCAAGCCAAAAUUGCAUGGUUAGGCCACAGGCAGACAACAGUCAGUGAAUGCGUUAUUACAUGUGUUAAUAUGUUAUUACAGUUCACACACACACAAUAGCUGAAUUUGCAGAGCUAGCGAGCAAACCAAAGCUAACAUUAACUAUCAAGCUAGAUUGUACCUAUUCCAUUUAUGUGGCGUCGUCAGAGAUGGAAUCUUUGCUAUUGUCAGUUUAUUCCAAGAUCAGCAUGCAGCUGUAGUGCUUCGAAGUCCCUGUGAUAAGGUUAGUGACAAACUGAACAGAACUACACUCUCUUCUACCAUUGUCUUAUAUCUUUAAUGGUCUCGUUGCAAAAGCUAAAUUGUCGAUAGGGGACUUUGAUGCACCUGUGUGCCGAUCUUGGAGUAAACUGACGAUAGCAAAGAUUAUAUGCAAAUUCAGCUAUUGUUGGAAGCCAGCCAAUAAAAAAACAAACAAUAUUCAAAUUACAAAAGGUUGCAACUUACGUUGUGUAAAUGGUGAAGUCAUACAGCUGUCAACCCUUGUCACUGUAACCCGUUUCACAUUUGCUAGCCGACUAGCUAGCUACCUUUUAGAUCAAAGUCCAUCUAGAAUGAUAGAAGCCCAGCUACUGUAAAUAACCUGCACACUGUGUGUGUGUGUGUGUGUGUGUGUGUGUGUGUAGCCAGUCAGGCAGAAAAAAGACGGACAUCAGAGUAUUUUUUUCAGUACACCAAAAUGCAAAGCAGAGCAGGCCACAUAUGGCACACAGACGGAGCUGGGGACAGAUGGGCAGGGACAGACUGGCAGAGACAGGGAAUCUCAGCUCAGUUUGGGACCCUUAAUCCAGGCUGGACAGGAGGAAGUCAACCGGCAUUUCUAGAUUCUCCAUCACCUGCCACGAGAGCCUCUGUGGGCUUUCAUAGAUGGACUCAUCGAGGUUGAAGAUGGAGUCCAACCACGCCUUCAUCUGAUCCUGACGACAACAGACACAUCAUCAACAAAUAGUUAAUGACCAGCUACAAAGAUAAGGAUGACAAACCAUCACACACAGUUCGAGAGAGAGAGAGAGAGAGAGAGAGGGAGGGAGAAUAAAUAAAUAAAUAUGCACCUUAAUGAGGAGGUAGAAGUUCCCAGCAGACUCUGUCCAGGCUCCUCCAGGAGGGUGAAUCCUCAUCAUCACUUCCAUGAGCAGAUAAAAGAAGGUGCCAGGCCUCUGGAGUAGGAACAGGGGACAUGAGUGAGUGUCUACAGACCUGGUAUGGCUACAGUGUGGAUAGGGUAGAUAAACAACAGGAUGUUUACAUUAUUAGGGCCACUUACAGAUGUUGGAAUAGAUUUUUUUCCUUCAAGAAGGCUCAGUAGAACGAAUUCAUAAAAUACAUCUGUGAAAUUGAUGUGGUUGAUCUGAAGUCAAACAAAUAAGAUAAUUACAUCUUUUUCAUUGACAAGCACUUUAGAAAGUCUCAUUGAGUAGAUGUUGGAUGAGCAGACGGUGCCUGCAGCUAACGCUCAUGCUUGCAUGUAAACCUACUCCUACAAGAGCCAUCUCCAGCUCUAGUUGCUCCCUGUUUGCUGGCUCAUUAAUGAAGUUCACCAGGGUGUCGUAGGCCUGCUGAAACUGCCUCACAUCCUCAAAACAAAACCAUCAUAAAAUUCCUUAGAACUUGGAUCAUAAACUCAAAGAUUCAGGUCUGUAAUUCAGAGGGCUGUUUGGCUUGUAAGAGAUUGGAUCUUUUCAACUAAACCUUAUGAAUCACUAUUGCCUAAAUGUAAGCCACUGGGUAAAGACUUGAAUCAACGUUGUUUCCUUGUCAUUUCAACAACAAAAAUGUAAUGUGAUGAUGGUGAAUCAACAUGGAAAACUGAUUGGAAUUGAAAAAAGUCAUCAACAUAUUUUUUUCACCAAACUUUUAACCUAAGUCCAAUGACAUGGUAGAUUUGUUGUAUUGAUUUCACAUUGAAUUCAAAUUGGUUGACAACUCAACCAAAUGUAACUAAACACGACACGCUGAAAUGACGUCUGUGCCCAGUGGGAACUAUAUAUCUGGUCUGAUGAAUGCUGUACAAUUAUGUGAACGGUUACCU